UCACGUGCGCGCAUUCUUGGCUCCCGUUUAGUGACCACCGUCUUUCUUUCUCUUUUUCCAACUCUUACACUGUCCCAUACCAGAGCUAUCUAUUCAUCUGGACUCAACAGUUUGGUGGAUGGCUUCUUCUUCUUCUUAUUCUUUUUCUCUGCUUCGUUCCAUUCCCAUUUCCUUUCCGCACACCCAAUGCGCUCUCAAAUCCCAGCGCCUCUCGCUUCGUGCUUCGGCCACUCCGAGCCAGAAGGCUCGGUUCGUCGCUCGCCGCAAGGAGUCCCUUUCGGUUCGGCAACUGCAACGCCCCCUAAUUGAGUACAUGCGGUUACCGGCGAGUCAGUAUUCGGUGUUGGACGCGGAGAGGAUUGAGCGGGUAAACGAAAACACGUUUAGGUGUUAUGUUUAUAGGUUCAAGUUCUUCAACCUUGAGGUUUGUCCUGUGUUGUUGGUGAAAGUGGAAGAGCAACCUGAUGGAUGUUGCAUCAAGCUCUUGUCUUGCAAGCUCGAGGGCUCGGCAAUGGUUGCUGCACAGAAUGACAAGUUUGAUGCUCUAAUGGUCAACCGGAUAUCAUGUGAUAGCAACGCUAACAAGUCAUUGAUGCAGCAACUCACAUCAGACACUAUAAUUGAGGUAAGCAUUGAAAUACCUUUUCCUUUCCAAGCAAUACCAAAGCAAGCAAUUGAAUCAGCUGGGACUCAAGUCCUUGAACAAAUACUCAGGAUUAUGCUUCCCCGUUUUGUGUCACAGUCAUAAAUGCCUAAGUGAAGAUUCACACAGACUUUCUCCACAUCAAGAUAUGAAACUUGAAAGAAAGAAAUGUUUUAAAAGGUUCUUUGUUGAUGCGGAUGUAAGGAGAUAAGAGAAUAUCGAGUUUGUAAAUUUUUUCAAUGGAAGAGAAGACUUUGAUGAUGUUGACUCUUUAAAGGAUAGAGGUCAAAUGCAUGAAAAAUCUUGGUGACUAGUUCAUGCUGCUGAUACACCAAUACUUCAAAAGGUUGCCCUUAAGCUACUUGAGCAAUCUUAGUCUCCUUUCAAGAAAUUCUCUACAAUACCAUCGAGAGGAAACUAAAAUCUUGAGAAAGAUUAUCGAGCUUGGGCCUCUGGAGAUACCUCAAGGCAACCUCUUGAGACAGGUGAAAUCUGAAAUAAUACCUCAUAGAAAUUGCCACUGCGCUGGCCUUAAAUUGUUGUGUAGUUAAUAGGUUCUAGAAAUAUCGCUUGUAGUAUGUGCAUUAAUGAAUUUUUGGUUUGUUAACUGAAUAUACAUUAUUAUUAGGCAAAAUUGUAAAAUUGGUCUCCCACUUUAUCUCCAAUUACGGAUUUGGUCCCCCUAUAAUUUAAUUCACAAAUUUGGUUUCCCAGUUUUAUAAAUCCCUGCAAAAUUGGUCCUGGAAGUCCAAUUUGGAUGUUGACUGCCACAUGUCAAUGUCAUGUGUGACUGUCACGUGUCAAUGUCACGUGUCAACGUUUGAGUUGUUUCCUGUAAAUGCUUCAUUUUUUGUAGGUAAAAUUGUACUUUUGGUUCUCCAGUUUUAUUCUAAUUUCGAUUUUGGUCUUGCUAUAGUUUAAUUCACACAUUUAGUCCCUUAGUUUUAUAAAUCCCUUUAUAAAUUGUUCCUGCAAAAUUGGUCUUUUGAAUGGUUUAGCCACUGGUGCUAGAGACAUGGUAAGUCUUGAUAAAUCUCGCACUUCUUUUUCAUCACAAGUUUUUCACUCACUUGGAACUCAGAGAAAAAUCACUCUUUGUCUCUCUCCCACUUCCAGGGUUGUUCAACUUGGGAAAGUGGCGCAUGAAUCCCAACCUGGGUCUGAAAUUUUCAGAUCUCUUACUUUAACAGGUUCUGUAAUAACCUCCUAUUUUUUUUUUCUUUUUUUGCUCCCCCAUGCGGUAUUAUGUGUAUACGAUUGCUUAAGUGACCUAUGUAUGACAAUGGUAUUUUUGUUUGAAAUUUGAAAUACAACUUCUCCAGUAAUGAAAUUUGGCUGAAUUUAUAAAGGAAUUUAUAAAACUGAGGGACCAAAUGUGCGAAUUAAAUUAUAAGGGGACCAAAAUCAAAAUUGGAGUAAAAUUAGGGGACCAAAAAUACAAUUUUACCUACAAAAAAUGAAGCCUUUGCAGGGAAUUACUCAGACGUUGACACGUGGCAUUGACACGUGACAUUGACAUGUGACAGUCACACAUGGUAGUCAACGUCUGAGAUUAACGGUCAAUAUCCAAAUCUGGCUUCCAGGACCAAUUUUACAGGGAUUUAUAAAAUUGGGGGACCAAAUUUGUGAAUUAAAUUAUAGGGAGAUCAAAUACGAAAUUGGAGAUAAAUUGGGGGACCAAAAGUGCAAUUUUGCCUUAUUAUUAUUAUUAUUUUGUGGAAAUUUUAAGGAAAUUAAUGUUACGAUAUUCCUGUGAUGUGGCUAUGUAUAGGUAAUGUAAUCUCAAUGUUAGAAUUAAAAGGAAUUUGAAUUAUUGAAGAAUUUUGUAUUUGAGUACUUAAA